rnacentral:rRNA from 1 species
GGAGGAAAAGAAACCAACAGGGAUUGCCUCAGUAACGGCGAGUGAAGCGGCAAGAGCUCAACUUUGGAAUCGCUCCGGCGAGUUGUAGUCUGGAGGUGGCCACCACGAGGUGUUUUAGCAGCAGGCAAGUCCUUUGGAACAAGGCGCCAGCGAGGGUGACAGCCCCGUACCUGCUUUUGCUAGUGCUUCCUGUGGCCCACCGACGAGUCGAGUUGUUUGGGAAUGCAGCUCUAAGUGGGUGGUAAAUUCCAUCUAAGGCUAAAUAUUGGCGAGAGACCGAUAGCGAACAAGUACAGUGAUGGAAAGAUGAAAAGCACUUUGAAAAGAGAGUGAAACAGUACGUGAAAUUGUUGAAAGGGAAGGGCUUGCACCCAGACACGGUUUUACCGGGCCAGCAUCAAGUAGAACGGGGUUAAAAGACCUGGGGAAUGUAGCUACCUCUUGGUAGUGUUAUAGCCCUUGGGUGAUGACCCCCGUUUUGCUUGAGGACAGCGGUCUCUAGGAUGCUGGCGCAAUGGUUGCAAGCCACCCGUCUUGAA